rnacentral:rRNA from 1 species
UACGUAGGGUCCGAGCGUUGUCCGGAUUUAUUGGGCGUAAAGAGCUCGUAGGCGGUUUCGUAAGUCGGAUGUGAAAACUCAGGGCUCAACCCGGAGACGCCAUCUGAUACUGCGAUGACUGGAGUCUGGUAGGGGAUCACGGAAUUCCUGGUGUAGCGGUGAAAUGCGCAGAUAUCAGGAGGAACACCGAUGGCGAAGGCAGUGAUCUGGGCCAGUACUGACGCUGAGGAGCGAAAGCGUGGGGAGCGAACAGG